UACGUAGGGGCAAGCGUUGUCCGGAAUUACUGGGCGUAAAGAGUGUGUAGGCGGUGCUCUAAGUUCGGUGUGAAAUCUCCUGGCUUAACUGGGAGGGUGCGCCGAAAACUGGAGUGCUCGAGCGUGGGAGAGGAAAGGCGGAAUUCCGGAUGUAGCGGUGAAAUGGCGUAGAGUAUACAGGAGGAACACCUGCGGUGUAGACGGCUUUCUGGACCAUGCUGACGCUGAGACACGAAAGCGUGGGUAGCAAACAGG
rnacentral:rRNA from 1 species